GAUGAACGCUGGCGGCGUGCCUAAUACAUGCAAGUCGAGCGAACGGACGAGAAGCUUGCUUCUCUGAUGUUAGCGGCGGACGGGUGAGUAACACGUGGAUAACCUACCUAUAAGACUGGGAUAACUUCGGGAAACCGGAGCUAAUACCGGAUGAUAUUUCGAACCGCAUGGUUCAAAAGUGAAAGACGGUCUUGCUGUCACUUAUAGAUGGAUCCGCGCUGCAUUAGCUAGUUGGUAAGGUAACGGCUUACCAAGGCAACGAUGCAUAGCCGAUCUGAGAGGGUGAUCGGCCACACUGGAACUGAGACACGGUCCAGACUCCUACGGGAGGCAGCAGUAGGGAAUCUUCCGCAAUGGGCGAAAGCCUGACGGAGCAACGCCGCGUGAGUGAUGAAGGUCUUCGGAUCGUAAAACUCUGUUAUUAGGGAAGAACAUAUGUGUAAGUAACUGUGCACAUCUUGACGGUACCUAAUCAGAAAGCCACGGCUAACUACGUG
rnacentral:rRNA from 1 species